AGUCAGACAAACUUUUAUGUUCGUUCUGAAGGCAAAUCAAAAGCAGGAAUUUGUUACCAAAACCAUAAAUAAAUGACGUCAUCGUACAUCUGGCAUCCAUUCGUGUAGCUGCUAUACAACACUAUAUUGUUUAUUUAUUUAUUUUUUUACUUUGUGUUGAUUAAUUGCUUGCUUAUUCUUAGAAAAUAUGUAGGCGAUAAUAUCAACAUAAAUUAUAUACAUGUAUUCAUUUCAUUGGGACUAUUCACUCCUGUUGCUACGUUCUCAUGUUCGUUUGUAUUGAAAAAUGUUCCCUUAAUUAUCAAUACACCCAACCAUCAAUAAUUAUUAUAGUAAUAUCAAAAUAAAAUGUUCAUUGUUAAAUACUGGAUCAAAAUAAAGCCAAUCAGGGACCUCGACACUUGCUUUACCAUUUACGUAAGAAAGAAAACCCCGUUGAAAAAGCAGAAUCAACUGGACUUCCGCGGGAAACUACAACAAUCAUCAUCAGUCCACUGCUAUUUCCUCCGCGUAAAAGCAAUGCAAGAUGUGCUACCUCGUUUUGGAGGUGUUUUCAGGACACAGGGAAGGAAGAUGAAACCUGACUAUCUUGCACCUCAAAGGAUGGACAGCUUAGGAUACCACACGGAGGGGGGUGAAGGAGCCUUGGGGAUGCCUGAAGGAGGGGCAGUGAAGGAGGGAGGCCUGGAGGUGAAGGAAAUGCAGAAAAUUCCUCUAAUACUGAGCGCUUCUCUGGUCAGACCAUCCUUCACUGAAUAUUUGGACCGAGGCUUCAAGAUACGAGUGAGCCAGGCGACCCUCCAGAACAGCGCCAUCCUGCCCACUUGUGGUGUGGCAGCCCUGAUCGUACCCCUCCCUCCCUCCUCCUCCUCCUCCUCCUCCUCCUCCUCCAGCAUAGAAGAGACCUUUGACCAGCUGGUGGACAGGGUCCGCGCCUUUAGCCGAGUACACGCGGGGGGCGUUGUAAUACUGGUGGGUGCUGUGUUUGGCAUGGAGGAGGUGAACGGGGUGUUGGGGAAGUUAUCAAGGCGGUUACUACCACGCCCUCCCCUGCUACUGCCUGCCCACGGGGAAGCCCAGGCUGCCGCGCACAUACAACUACUGGCAAAGGCGGUGGUGGGGGGGCGGGAGGGCGUAGUCUGGAGGAGGCUGGCAGGGGUUAUGGAGGGGGUCCUGGCAUCCCCCGUCUCCCCCCACUCCCUCGCUACCCCCAUUGGCCUCUCACCGGCACAAGUAGCGGCGGGGCUGGAAGUGGGCGGGAGUUUAGCAGGUUUCGCUAAGAUUGGGCUGGAAGUUAACGGAGGAGGAGGCGCGGCACGUGACAAUGCAAUACAGGGCUUACAGAGGGCAGGCGUGACUGGGCCCUGCCUCGCCGCCCUUGUCAACACCUUAGAGAGAGAUAUGCUCACCUUGUAGAGAGAGAGAGAGAGAGAGAGAGAGAGAGAGAGAGGAUAUAUUUUAAUUUUCUUUCGUUAUAUAUUCAAUUUAUUUAUUUAUUUAUUAUUUUAACGGUUAUUUUCUUUUCUCUAUUUUUCGUUCGUUUUUUUUUUAUUAUGGAAUGUUGAAUUUUACCUAUAUUUGUUUACAUUUUUUUUAUCAAUUUCUUUCGAUUUUAUAUUCAGUUCAUUUAUUUAUCUUUAUUUUUUUAAGACCAUUUAUUUAUUUUCUUUAUUUUUUUCGUUCAUUUUCAUAAUGGGAAUAUUUACUUUUAUAUAUAUUUUUCAAUUAUUUUUCAUUUCUUCGAUUUAAAUGUGUCCAAGUACUUGCAAGGAUCAUUUAUUUAUUUAUUUACUUUUAUUUUCCGUCCGUUUAUUUAUUUAUUUAUUUAUUUAUUUAUCUUUUUUUUAUAAUGGAAACUUAUUUCAUCUUUAUUCCCGUUUUCUGUUACUUGUUCAUGCCAGGGGUGACAAUAAAUAUUAAGAUUA